AUGUUCACCUUUAUAUUCAUGUGUAUGUGGAUUUCACUAGGUGACUCUACAACAGGUCCAAUCAAGCCACUUGAUCCACAUAAAAAUGUAACUGAAGGUGAUACUGUUACUCUGUCCUGCAGCUACAAAGACUUCACUGGUACAGUUAACAGUCUGCAGUGGUACCGUCAAUAUCCAAAAUCUAAACCAGAGUUCCUUAUUUCCACUCUUGCCUUUGGAGAUCCAAGUGAAAACAUUACAUUACGUUUGACUGCUAAAGGUCAUCAGGAUUUAAAACAAGUGGAUCUGAACAUCUCCUCUGCUGCAGUAUCAGAUGCUGCAAUAUAUUACUGUGCACUGGUGCCCACAGUGACAGGAAACACAGCUGCACUGUACAAAAACUUCAACACAGAUGAUGGUGAUAUGGCGGCAACUGAACGGGUGAUUGAGGAGACUGUUCUGAGGAUCUAUGUGACUAGAGUUGAUGGAGCUGAAGCCAUGGACCCCCCUGCCAAUACUUGA